GAUGAAGAACGCAGCGAAAUGCGAUAAGUAAUGUGAAUUGCAGAAUUCAGUGAAUCAUCGAAUCUUUGAACGCACAUUGCGCCCGCCAGUAUUCUGGCGGGCAUGCCUGUUCGAGCGUCAUUUCAACCAUCAAGCCCCAGGCUUGUGUUGGGGACCUGCGGCUGCCGCAGGCCCUGAAAACCAGUGGCGGGCUCGCUAGUCACACCGAGCGUAGUAGCAUACACAUCGCUCAGGGCGUGCUGCGGGUUCCGGCCGUUAAUCCCCUUUUUUACCCAAGGUUGACCUCGGAUCAGGUAGGAAGACCCGCUGAACUUAAGCAUAUCAAUAAGCGGAGGA
rnacentral:misc_RNA from 1 species